rnacentral:lncRNA from 1 species
AAGAAUUGACUUUCCAGCAGCUCUCAAAACAUGCAGUUACACUCCUCAGACAAGCAUUAAUCAGUGGCCAUCAUCUCACAGAGAUACUGUGGUGUUGUCUGGAAUGAAACUGGAAAGAUGCUUCUCUGUGUCCAUAUGUAAUGGUGAUGGGUAGGGGAUUAAAAUAUUUGAAAAUCACCGAAUUGAGAACAUCAUUAUGUUGUCGUGUUCAAGGACCAAUGCCAAAUGGAAAGUCAGAAACUAGAGCUGAAGAGCUAUCCAUCUUUCAAGUUGCUUGAUGUUUUUGGAAUCGGUGGAGAGUUCAACAUCUGGCUUUCCCCCAGUUAAGUAUCUCUCUUUUCUGUUUUGGAACUUAAUGGAUGAGCUAAAUAGAAAGGAGAAAAAUACAGAA